rnacentral:rRNA from 1 species
GCAGCCGCCGCGGGAAUACGUAGGUGGCAAGCGUUGUCCGGAAUUAUUGGGCGUAAAGCGCGCGCAGGCGGAUCAGUUAGUCUGUCUUAAAAGUUCGGGGCUUAACCCCGUGAUGGGAUGGAAACUGCUGAUCUAGAGUAUCGGAGAGGAAAGUGGAAUUCCUAGUGUAGCGGUGAAAUGCGUAGAUAUUAGGAAGAACACCAGUGGCGAAGGCGACUUUCUGGACGAAAACUGACGCUGAGGCGCGAAAGCCAGGGGAGCGAACGGGAUUAGAUACCCGUGUAGUCCCUGUCUCUUAUACA